rnacentral:pre_miRNA from 1 species
AAAGAGCCCCAGACCGUCCAUGUGAUUCUCUUGUCCUUCAUUCCACCGGAGUCUGUCUUGUAGCCACCAGAUUUCAGUGGAGUGAAGUUCAGGAGGCGUGGAGCUCACA